AAAAAUAAAGUUUGUUCCUGCUUCAGUGGCUCGUGAUUUGUGCCCAGCCAGACUGCGGCAAUAAGCCAGACACAGAAAGACAAAUACUUUGUCAAUUAUAUGUGACAUUAUAUGUUUUAAAAUCUUCAAUAUGUUUAUAGAUAUGUAUCUUAUUUCUUGACGAAAAGAAUAAACAUUGAAAUAUGUCAAAUAUUCUAAAUCUAGAAAUUUAAUUCAAUUCUUACAGAAGCCCUUGAUUAAAAUGGAGGGUAACAUUCAACCAGCAUUUGUUGUCCAUCUACAAUGUAUUGUUCACUAUACUAGGUUAAAAUAUAGAUGAUAAAAUAUAUCAAGAGAAUGAAGAAAAUGUGCAAAAAUUAUAUUAAUUUUUUUCUGUACAAGGGAGUGGAAUUUGGAAUGUGGUAAAAGUAUAUUUUCAGAUCAGUGUGUAAACAAAGGAUGGAAUAUACAAGAAAUGUGUUGGGAUAGUUGACUGUUCAAAAAAAAUAAUUAAGAAUGUUAUCAGCUAUGAUGUAAAAAUAAAUUUCUAAAUGUUCUAAGUGGAAUAAAAAUCUAAUCAUAAAAUAAAAUGCUACUUAAAAGGAUGAAAAGGGGAAUGCUUAUAUCAUUUUGUCAUAGGAAAGGUCUUAAGAAAAACAGACUAGAAGCCAUGAAAGAAAAAAUUUACAUAUUUGUCUACAUCAAAAGAAUUAAAUUACUAUGACACAAUAUACUAUAUACAAAGUUAACAAAUAAAAUGAAAAAGUGGGAAAACUAUUUGUAAUAUAUAUUUGACAAAGAACGAGUAGUCUUCAUGUAUUAAGUGCUCCUAUAAAUCCAUGAGAAAAAGACGAAUGCUUUCUUGGAAAAUGGAAAAAGUACAUGAAGGGAUAAUCCACAAAAAGUAAAUAAAUGGCAUGAUUUUAUGAAAGAUGAUAGAUUUUAUCAGCAUUCAAAUAACUGCAAACUUAUAUGCUCAUAUAGAUAUUGUUUUCUUGGAUAGUUAGUGUGUAGUGUGUGAUGUGCUGGGCAUUGAACCCAAGAGCCUCAUGUAUGCUAAGCAAGCACUCUACACUGAGUUACAUCCAUAGUCAUAGAUAGUUGACUUUUAGCCUUGCAACUUGAAAAAGAUGUAAAAGAUUCAUAAUACUACUGCUGAUGAAUAGGGUAAGAAAACAGAACUGUGUUCUUGGAGUGUAAAUUGCUGCAGUAUAUUGCUGACUUUCUGGGUGUUAGUGUGGUAAUAUUAUCAAAAAUUAAAUGUUUGUACUCAUUUCUUUAGAAAUUUCAUGUCCAGGAAUUUAUUCUAAGGAAAUACCACAAGGGAAUAUGAUCCCAAUUAUAUGUGUAAGGAUACUAGUUUCAGCAUUGCUUAUAAUUUCCUCCCUCUCCUAAAAAGGGAGGUGGCCCAUGUGCGUGUCAGCAGGGGAUUUUU
rnacentral:lncRNA from 1 species